UGUGAAGAAGCCCAAGCUGCACCCAAGUCCUGCUACACUUCAGAACAUGCAUUCACAUUCAUGCCAGCACCCCACAAAAGCUUAUGUCAAAGCACUAGCUCCCUUCCUCUUUCAAUAUUUUAAAUCCACCAUGGGCCCCUCUAUUAAUUGCAAGUAAUGCCAAAAUCCAUAUCCACUUCUUCCAAAAAUCUUUUCUCUUUUAUAUUAUUGCUGUGCAUAUCUCUUACUUUAUUUUCACAUU
rnacentral:lncRNA from 1 species